rnacentral:lncRNA from 1 species
GCGACGGAGGGGACGAAAGGGACGCCACGUCGUUUCAAAAAAGAAUCAUGGCAUGCGAGGCAACGGUCGCCUGUACUAUGGCCUUACUCCAAAAUCCAAAAAGUUUUCAAAAUUUCCUGUCACAUCGAAUCUUGCGGCACAUGCAUGAAGCAUUAAAUAUAGACGAAAACAAAAACUAAUUACACAGUUUGACUGUAAAUCACGAGAUGAAUCUUUUAAUCCUAGUUAGUAUAUGAUUGGACAAUAUUUACCACAAACAAACGAAAGUGCUACAGUUUCGAAAACUUUUCAGAUUUUCGGAACUAAACAAGGCUUAUUUCGGUACUGUAACACUUUCGUUUGUUUGUAACAAAUAUUAU